UGUGUGUGUGUAGUUGAGGGUGAAGACUGUAGCUGGGGACUGUUCAUCAUUGGCUGGUAGUGGUUGGUGUCACUAUCCUGGGGUGUAUGGGAGCCCAACUGGAGAACAGGUGCUUCCUACUACUGUAUAUGGGCUUCCUGAUCUGCAUUGUCCUUGGUCAGCUGUUUGUCACCUUCAUCCUUUUGUUAAAUCAUGGAAAGAUCACAUCUAAGAUGAAAAUAGAGUGCGAUAAGAUCAUCACUGAAUAUGGAACAAACCCUGAGAAUCGAACGACAUUGGAAGCUUCUGGAUAAUGUACAGCACUAUGGGCACUGCUGUGGUAAUGCAGAGUCCUAAUGACUGGCAGAGCAACAUGUUCAUUAAGAACAACAGUCUGAUAGAAGUGUUAUCCCUGUUCCUGUUUCAACACCACGGACUGUCCUGCGUCUCAGGAUUCAGCACACUGCUGUUUGGAAAUGGAACACAGAAUCCAU